UCAUAUCUGGGAAAUACUGUCGCCUUUCGACGAAGAUAAGAUGUGCACGUCGUAAAUAUAUUAUUCCUGACGAGUCCAAAGAUCUUCUUUUUUUCAUUACCAGAUAUGUGGAAAACUACAAUGGAUGGAACUUCAUUUACAGCCGUCAAUUCCUGAGAGUCCUGCUGAAAUACAACAUUUCUUAUUCCUGGAUUCAGACAGUUGCGGUUAUAGAAACUUGAAUAAUGACAACCGAUUCUUGCAAGUUUUGCUGACUGGCAACAUAUCUUCUGUUUUUAAUUUAAUAAUCGUUCGAGCGACCAAUAUUUGUGACAUUUGCUGAGUGGCUACAAGUCAUCUUUUUUUUAAUUAGAAUAGUCGUGUUUGAUUAUACCACACUAUCAACACAGAAAAAUUCGUUCCACUGGUGCAACGGCAAUGACAACCACAAAGACGGACAGAAGGUC